rnacentral:rRNA from 1 species
UUGGAGGGCAAGUCUGGUGCCAGCAGCCGCGGUAAUUCCACCUCCAAUAGCGUAUAUUAAAGUUGUUGCAGUUAAAAAGCUCGUAGUUGAAUUUCGGGGUUAGUAGGUUGGUCAUGCCUCUGGUAUGUACUGGUCUCACUGAUUCCUCCUUCCUGAUGAGCCGUAAUGCCAUUAAUUUGGUGUUGCGGGGAAUUUGGACUGUUACUUUGAAAAAAUUAGAGUGUUUAAAGCAAGCUAACGCUUGAAUACAUUAGCAUGGAAUAAUGAAAUAGGACGUUCGAUCCUAUUUUGUUGGUUUCUAGGAUUGACGUAAUGAUUAAUAGGGAUAGUUGGGGGCAUUAGUAUUCAAUUGUCAGAGGUGAAAUUCUUGGAUUUAUUGAAGACUAACUACUGCGGAAGCAUUUGCCAAGGAUGUUUUCAUUAAUCAAGAACGAAAGUUAGGGGAUCGAAGACGAUCAGAUACCGUCGUAGUCUUAACCAUAAACUAUGCCGACUAGGGAUCGGAUGAUGUUAAUUUUUUAAUGACUCAUUCGGCGCCUUACGGGAAACCAAAGUGUUUGGGUUC